GAAACGGAUGCCGUUGGCACCUUGAUCUCAGACUUCCAGUCCAUAGAACUCUCUGAGUCCUUGCAUUGUCAGAACAGAGUGAGGGGGAAGAGGAGUCAUUGGAGAAGCCGGGCCAACAGCAUUCCCUCCAUCACUGGGGAUAUGCUCUCCUCCAUGGGGUGGAGGCCACACAGUCACCAUGUUUUGAGGAUGUUCAAGCAGUCCUAAGGAGACAUAUGGUGAGGAGCUGAGACCUGCUGCCAACAACCUGACCUGACACCCACGUGUAGGCUCCAUCUUGGAAGAAGAUUCUCCAGCUCUCCAGACUCCCCAGAUUCUUCAUCCAGUUAAGCAUUCAGAUGCCUUCAUCUCUGGCUGACAGUCUGACUGCAACCUCAAGAGAGGCCCAAGCCAGAAACACGUGAUAAGCUGCUCAUGAAUUCCUAACCCACAAAAAUGGUGUAGGUAAUACAAGCUCUCUAUUGC